rnacentral:rRNA from 1 species
CCUACGGGAGGCAGCAGUGAGGAAUAUUGGUCAAUGGGCUUACGCCUGAACCAGCCAAGUCGCGUGAGGGAAGACGGUCCUAUGGAUUGUAAACCUCUUUAGGCGGGGAGCAAUGCCGGGCACGCGUGCCCGGAGGGAGAGUACCCGCAGAAUAAGCAUCGGCUAACUCCGUGCCAGCAGCCGCGGUAAUACGGAGGAUGCGAGCGUUAUCCGGAUUUAUUGGGUUUAAAGGGUGCGUAGGCGGAUUUUUAAGUCAGCGGUAAAAUGUCCGGGCUCAACCCGGGCCGGCCGUUGAAACUGGGAAGCUGGAGUACAGGAGAGGUAAGCGGAAUGCCUGGUGUAGCGGUGAAAUGCGUAGAUAUCAGGAGGAACACCGGCGGCGAAGGCGGCUUACUGGACUGUAACUGACGUUGAGGCUCGAAGGCGUGGGGAGCAAACAGGAUUAGAUACCCGGGUAGUC